UACCAAAUCGUCUAAAGUAAUAAACCGGUAAGACCGGAAAUCGUUUCCCAAGAGACUCGUGAAACUAGACAAUCGUAUAAUUUCUAACUAACCUAGACUAAAGAAUGUUUCCAUAAUUUGAGUUUUGGUGAAAUUAAAGUAACUAUAAAACAUAAAUGAUAAAAGUGAUCUUAAGCACUCAAACACUUUGAAAUGGAGAGAUUAGAAAUGCAAUGGAAUGAUAUUGUUGGGGGUAUGCUUUCACCGACUUCACUCUUAUGUAAAUAAAAUUACUUCCUCUUCAUUAAAUUGUCAAAGUCAAUCUACUAAAUUACUCAAACCCCAAUCCCUUGGUAGAAAGAGUCUAGACUUCCUUAUUAAGCUCCAAUCCCUUGGAAAACCUAACAAUUAGUUCUGCAUUAAGAAAUGAGAUUUUAAGACAACCAAAGGGCCUAGUUCUAUCCCUAGAUACUAUUUCCUUUAGGUGUUUAACCCAAAUCUGGAUUUACCCAACAUUUCCCAAUAUUAAGCAACCCUAAAAUCAAGUUAUGAGUAGCAAUUUCACAACAAGCAUUAAGAGAAGAAAUCAAACACUAGCAAUCAAUGAAAGAGGCAUAUUUUCAUUCAAAACAAAAUGAUUUACAUAAAAGUUCAGUGGCUACAACAAUCCCCCAACAACAAUGAAACUAGCUCUCCAUGAAUGGAGAGCUUGAGCUUACAACAAUGGUGGAAAUGGAAGAAGAAAGGAGACCCAAGGAUGAAGAAGGAGUGUUCCCACAGCUCCAAGCUGCCUCCAAGAGCUCCAAAACGAGAGAAAACGAGUCUGGGUGCAAAAAGAU
rnacentral:lncRNA from 1 species